CAGGAUGAACGCUGGCGGCGUGCUUAACACAUGCAAGUCGAACGGGUAGUGAUUGAAGCUUGCUUUGUUCAUACUAGUGGCGGACGGGUGAGUAACGCGUGGGUAACCCGCCUUAUACCGGGGGACAACAGCUGGAAACGGCUGCUAAUACCGCAUAAGCGCACAGAUAGGCAUCUAUCAGUGUGAAAAACUCCGGUGGUAUAAGAUGGACCCGCGUCUGAUUAGCCAGUUGGCGGUGUAACGGACCACCAAAGCGACGAUCAGUAGCCGGCCUGAGAGGGCAGACGGCCACAUUGGGACUGAGACACGGCCCAAACUCCUACGGGAGGCAGCAGUGGGGAAUAUUGCACAAUGGAGGAAACUCUGAUGCAAGCGACGCCGCGUGAGUGAAGAAGUAUCUCGGUAUGUAAAGCUCUAUCAGCAGGAAAGAAAAUGACGGUACCUGACUAAGAAGCCCCGGCUAACUACGUGCCAGCCGCCGC
rnacentral:rRNA from 1 species